rnacentral:rRNA from 1 species
GUGCCAGCCGCCGCGGUAAGACGGAGGAGGCAAGCGUUAUCCGGAAUUAUUGGGCGUAAAGCGUCCGCAGGCGGCUUUUUAAGUCUGUUGUCAAAGCCCACAGCCCAACUGUGGAUCGGCAAUGGAAACUGGUUAGCUUGAGUGUGGUAGGGGUAGAGGGAAUUCCCGGUGUGGCGGUGAAAUGCGUAGAUAUCGGGAAGAACACCAGUGGCGAAGGCGCUCUACUGGGCCACAACUGACGCUGAUGGACGAAAGCUAGGGGAGCGAAAGGGAUUAGAUACCCCUGUAGUCCUAGCUGUAAACGAUGGAUACUAGGUGUUGGACGUAUCGACCCGUGCAGUACCGUAGCUAACGCGUUAAGUAUCCCGCCUGGGGAGUACGCACGCAAGUGUGAAACUCAAAGGAAUUGACGGGGGCCCGCACAAGCGGUGGAGGAUGUGGUUUAAUUCGAUGCAACGCGAAGAACCUUACCAAGGCUUGACAUGUCGCGAAUCUUUGCGAGAGCAGAGAGUGCCUUCGGGAGCGCGAACACAGGUGGUGCAUGGCUGUCGUCAGCUCGUGUCGUGAGAUGUUGGGUUAAGUCCCGCAACGAGCGCAACCCACGUUUUUAGUUGCCAGCAUUAAGUUGGGCACUCUAGAGAGACUGCCGUGGACAACACGGAGGAAGGUGUGGACGACGUCAAGUCAUCAUGCCCCUUACGCCUUGGGCUACACACGUCCUACAAUGCUUCGGACAGAGGGCAGCAAGCGCGCGAGUGCAAGCAAAUCCCAUAAACCGAGGCUCAGUUCAGGUUGCAGGCUGCAACUCGCCUGCAUGAAGGCGGAAUCGCUAGUAAUCGCAGGUCAGCAUACUGCGGUGAAUACGUUCCCGGGCCUUGUACACACCGCCCGUCACACCACGGGAGUUGGCCACGCCCGAAGUCGUUACUCUAACCGUUCGCGGAGGAGGGCGCCGAAGGCAGGGCUGAUGACUGGGGUGAAGUCGUAACAAGGUAACC